rnacentral:rRNA from 1 species
GCGGAUGUCGGAUUAGCUAGUUGGUGGGGUAAAGGCCUACCAGGGCGACGAUCCGUAGCUGGUCUGAGAGGAUGAUCAGCCACACUGGGACUGAGACACGGCCCAGACUCCCACGGGAGGCAGCAGUGGGGAAUUUUGGACAAUGGGGGCAACCCUGAUCCAGCCAUGCCGCGUGAGUGAAGAAGGCCUUCGGGUUGUAAAGCUCUUUCAGUUGGGAAGGAACGGGGUUCUCUAACAUAGGGCUCUAAUGACGGUACCGACAGAAGAAGCACCGGCCAACUACGUGCCAGCAGCCGCGGUAAUACGUGGGGUGCAAGCGUUAAUCGGAAUUACUGGGCGUAAAGGGUGCGCAGGCGGCCGCCCAAGACAGGCGUGAAAUCCCCGGGCUCAACCUGGGAAUGGCGCUUGUGACUGGGUAGCUAGAGUACGGCAGAGGGGGGUGGAAUUCCACGUGUAGCAGUGAAAUGCGUAGAGAUGUGGAGGAACACCGAUGGCGAAGGCAGCCCCCUGGGCCUGUACUGACGCUCAUGCACGAAAGCGUGGGGAGCAAACAGGAUUAGAUACCCUGGUAGUCCACGCCCUAAACGAUGUCGACUAGUCGUUCGGAGCGGUAACGCACUGGGUGACGUAGCUAACGCGUGAAGUCGACCGCCUGGGGAGUACGGUCGCAAGAUUAAAACUCAAAUGAAUUGACGG